UACGAAGGGGGCUAGCGUUGUUCGGAAUUACUGGGCGUAAAGCGCACGUAGGCGGAUACUUAAGUCAGGGGUGAAAUUCCGGGGCUCAACCCCGGAACUGCCUUUGAUACUGGGUAUCUCGAGUCCGGAAGAGGUGAGUGGAAUUCCGAGUGUAGAGGUGAAAUUCGUAGAUAUUCGGAGGAACACCAGUGGCGAAGGCGGCUCACUGGUCCGGUACUGGACGCUGAGGUGCGAAAAGCGUGGGGAGCAAACAGG
rnacentral:rRNA from 1 species